AAGGCACAUUUGUAUUAUCAUCAGCCAAAGUGAUUCAUUCUCCUGUUGUUUUAUUCUUUACAUUAAACUGUAUCUAAUAUGUUUUUACUUUGGGCACAGGCAUUUUGGGCUGACAAGAGCUCGUACAGCCGUCUCUGUUAUAAAUUCAAAGAGAGUGAGCUGUCCCAGGCCGAAUAACCCAGUUGUACCCAUCUCCACAGUUGCUACCCACAAACUGUUUUGUAGUGGCAGAAAAGUUAAUCCAGAUAUUACCAUUUAGUGAAGCCUUGGAACCGCUCUGUAUUAAAGCCUGAGCUGAACAGGACCCUAGUACAGAGCAAGAAAUCUCAUGCAGAUUCCAGGCUGUCAACUCCAAUACAGAGUUGAUUAUUUUCAUUUUGAAGAGCUAAUAUUUAAGCUCACUUUCAAUUGAAUGCAUCCACAAUCUGUCAGUAUUCUGUCCUGGUCAUUAUUUUUACUGUGUAAUUCUGUCACCUACGCAAUUCUCUUAAUUUUUCUUAUUUUGCCAUUAUCCAUAUUAUAUAUGCAGCAGUAAUGUAUGAGAUUGCUGAUGCUUUCCAUUUGUACCUUAGAUUAACGCUUUAAUUCAAUCAGUCUAGCUUCCUGGUAACACAACAUGGUGAUCAAUCUUGCAAGACCAGAAUAACACUAAAAUUACAUUUCUAGCAUAUGAUGGAUUCUAAAUUUACUGUAUAUAUUCUCACUGGAAUGCAUAAGAGUAAAAAGAAAACCUUUAAUACCUCACCUACAGAAAACGUAUUUGUAAGGUAAAAAAAUACCCUUCGUAUACAAAUGUAAUGCUUUUUUUUAAGCUACAACUAUUAGAUCUCAAUCUUCAAUUAUUUUUUCACAUGCUUUUUGGAUACAUUGACCUCUUAUUAGAAUCUCUUCAAUUAAUCAUUUGCAUGGUUACUGUAAAUCUAAGAGGACACAUUUUAAUGUGAUUUGUUUUUUCUUAAGAACUACUAAACACAUAGGCCUCUGCCUCUCAUUUAGACUGUUCUUCCUUUCUGCACUGAAGCUGGAUUUUACUCUUGUGUUCUUGAGGGUAAACCUAUAUUGCCUGGUGUAAAUUUACUGCUUUAAAGUUAAGAUGAGGCAAGUUGAAAUCCUAUCUCCAACAGACUUUGAACAAAUCCAGUCACAGUGGAAAGAAGUUAACUAACUGCUGAGGGCCUGGUACUGCAAAGUGAGCCUGCAAGGCUGCUGGCCCCGGUACCUCGGGGUAGAUUUGGUUGGGAUCCUCCCUCCACUGCCCCACCUCACCCCUUUUUUAUAAAGGCCUGAGUUGGGUUUGUAGAACGUGAACUGGAAGAGCAAAAAGUAGGAAAUUAAUCGCUGUCUGUCUCUUCCCUGUUCCGCUCCCUUAUGCGGAGAUGAGCAAUGGAUGUUGGGGAUAAAGGGAAUCAGAUUUCUCAUGGAGGAUCUAUAGGAAUGCUGGUCAUUUUUUUUUUUUCUCCACACAGAACCCAAAGUGUACAGGUACAGGGGCCAGGUGGAUCAGAUGGAGAGAGGAGCAAGAGAAGGCUUCACAGUGGUCCUUUUUCUUCUCUCUCACUCUGAUAACUUACUAUUUCCCUAGGGUUACACCCUUCUGUUGCCUCUUUGAAGGCACAUUUUGAAGCCUGUACCUCCCCGUAAGUGCUUUAGCUCCUGUGUUGCCAGUAUUCUACCAGUGGAUAUUUUGGCAAUGGAGUUCCCUUCUGAAGACAGGGAUUCCACAUUGCAUCAGAGGCUCUGAAGCUAACCCCUGCGUGUCCUGGGUGGAUGCCCUUCGCUCCAGGCUGUACCGGGUCACUGUACUGUGCGCAGUGUCCUGUCGGCCCGGGAGCAGGAGCUGCACGGGGCCUGGCAGGCGAGGGAGGCGGAGGAGCUGCGGUCAGGCAUCCCCACGGGGUGCUGUCGGGCUCGUGUGCAGGUCUGCUGCCUGAACUGGAGGUGAACGCGAUGCACAAAGGAAAAUGCUGGUGGCUUUAGACCUCUCCAAGACUCCUCUGCAGCUGACUGAAGCUUUGAGGCUAAAUCCCACAUGUGGUAUUUGGGAUUUAGGAACUGUGAAAGGCAGUUAGAUACCUUCUCCUUUGCUGCAAGUUCUGGAUUCCCCUAGAUAGCAUGCUAGUAAGGUUUGGAUUUGAACUCUGGCUUGAGUAACUACACCAUAACCCAAAUUAACUGUACUGUGUUAUCUUCUAACUCCGCAAUUAGCUUGUGUCACCAGCAAAUGAAAUGCAUGAGUAAUUUCUGUACGGAAAUUGCUUGCCACCUCAUUUAUUAACAUUAAAACAGAUGCUGUUUUAUCACUGACUGAUACUGGACAUUAAUCAGUAUUUUGUCAGACUUUGCAUGCAUAUUAAUAUCACAGCUGGGAGGAAUCUAGGAAAGUUCCUCUGUAAAAUAUACUGUACUUCCUGCGUAAUAGCCUGCCAGCACAGCAACUGUGUGCUUGUACCCAAUGUCAGUCAUCUACUGUUUGCCACUUCAGUGCACAUUUUCCUACAGAUGGUAUCCACCCACAGUGAAAGCUGAAAAUACAGCAGUGUUUGCCUCAAAAGAAACAAGGCAGAAAAACAAGGCCAUCCCAUCUCACAUUCUGGUCAACCUCUUCCUUUACAAAUGAAGAGCCAUUAUAAAUCAACCCACUAAAACGGUAUGUACUCACAUGCUUUGUAAAAUAAUUUAUAUUUUGAAGGGUGAAUAAAGUGUCAUUAAUAUGUUGAGUGACGGGCAAGGUUCUGUGCCAGGACUAUGAAGAUUUCUUGCUUUCUAUUCCCAGGAUCCCCUUUGCUUGCCCUCCCUUCUAGCGCUGUUUUCCAAACCAUUUAUGCAUUUUGUUAUUAAGUUGUUAUGGUAAUGGGGCGAGCUUCAGGCAUAUGGACCGAAGGGCAGGACUAUCUGUCUCCCAUACAGUUUACGAUAUCUGUGAGCACCCCUUCUUCCAGCAAGCCCCUCAUAAGCCCCAGGAAAUGUAACUAGCAACAACUGCUUCUCUAUGGACUUGAUUUAAAGCAAUUGAAAAGUGGAGAGAAGGAGGUAGAAAAACCACUAGAUUUAAAAGCUGUACCCAAAGGAAUAAAUUAAAGGAUUUAAAAUGCCAAUUUUCAGGCAAAUUAUCACAGAUGGGAAAUGGCCUGGCAGUCAAAUGAGGAUUCUUAUAGGAAAAUGAUCUGGCUCCAUAAUUGGAGCAAAAAUUAUUUGAGUUAAAAUAAGGCUCAGAAUUAAGCUUUAAGUUUCUCUGAGCUCCAGAAGGCCCAUGAAGAGGGAGGGGGCUUGAAGAGGGCUCUUCUCACUAACACCUUGGCUCUUCCUGUGUGCAUGAGGACCCAGAGAUACCUGCAAGGAACCAACCUCCCACUGCUGCUGAUACCAAGGGGCAGGGACUGGAGUUACUACAGACUGCAUUAAGGCUUGUCUGUUUCCCACCGAUGCUGAGCAGCCACAAAGCAAAGCAGCAGCACUGCAGUGCCUUUGGGCUUGUGCUCUCGAUGUGUGCACCACGGUCUGGCUGCUGGUGGAGAGGAGAGAGGGAAAUCCUUGAUGUCCCAGUUCAGGAGGCUGCCAAAGGGAGCCCGCAGGGGGAAAUGCUUCCCAGCUGGGGUGAUCGUGUGCUACAGCAAAGGCUGGGAGUGGAUCCCUGGGCACUGGAAAAAAUACAGCAAAAUGGCUUGUCUUUUUGUGACAAAAUAGAGCUGCACACGCUCUCCAAAAUCUUUGCAAUGUGCGUGGAAGCACAAGCUUUCAUCUUGUUCUAGAAUGUGCAAGUCAGAUGUAUUUAACAGCAUGAGAGCAGUAUCAAAGCCAUUAACCCUUACUCCAGCACAGAUCUGUAGCAAGGGAUUUGAUAUUAUGUACAGCUUUGCUGUAAAGUACCAACAAUUUGUAAUAAUUGGGUCACCAAUUCCAGUUCAGCUAUAAAAAUCAAUGUCCAGUGAAAGUAAAUAGAAAUGAAUCUAAAACACGUUGUUGCAAUUAAUAGUGACAAAUCUUUCAGUCUGUACUCCAGACUCCUUCACUAGACUAUUUUCUCUGCACGGGUGGGAAGCAAUUUGGUUAAUGAUCUUAGGCUAAUAAUCUGUAGCAGAAUCAACAAUAUGAUAUUCACAAUACCUUUGAGAUGUCCUUCACGUUACAGAUGUGAUACUAAUUUAGUUCCAUGACUCUGAUCACCAACACUCAUUACUUACUCCACAAAUUAAUACUUAAAAAAUAAUGGGUAUCUAUCUGCUGAAGUUGUAAAUUUGGCGAUAUUAACUCUGAAUAGAAAUAAGAGUAUUACUUUUUUUCAAUCUUAAUGAUUCUUUAGUUGCACAGCAGCUGAAGUACCUUUUCCAUCUUGCACACAUAUGAGAGAUAGGGUGGGGUUUGUUGUUGUUGGGGUUUAAGUUUUGUUUUGUUUUUUGUUUUUUUGGGGGGGGGGUGUUGGUUGUUUGGUUUGGUUUGGUUUUUUUCAAUGGUAGGUUUGUAUUUUGUCUGAUUGAAAACCAGGAAAUAUGGCGUAAAAUUAUAGAAUAUUUAUUUAUUUCUGCUAUUCUUUUUUGUUGUCUUAUUUCUUUGAAAGGAAGCACUGUUUAACUUCUGAAUGAGUGGCUGAAGAGCACACUAAAGUGGUUAACCGUAUUUAUGGCAAGAGGUUCCUUUCAUAGCUCUUCAUGGAUAGUAUCUUCCAGCCAUGGCAACUACAGUUUUUCCCUUCAUCAUCUGGGGAAUAAACCUGAUGUAAAGACACUUUAUAUUAUUUUGAUUAAGAAAUGACCUUUUGCCUUUUUACAACCAGGUGAGCGUACUCUUAUGUUAAGAUUUUUUUAGGCAAGCUGUAAGCAUUAUUACAUCUAUCAACAGCAGGAUUGAUUACAGCCUUUGUUGUGUUGUAAUUUAAUACUAUAUUCAUUUUAUUUCAGUGUAUCAAUUCUGUGAAAACCUUUCAUUUGGUCUCAGUGACAAUAUUAGCCUCUCUUUAAGAGUUUGUUGGGGUUUUUUUUAAUCAAGUAUAUGUAUCUAAACUGAUCUGACUUUGCCUGAAAAGUCAGGAUUGAGCAUUGCUUUGCAGUGAAUUGCCGUCUUUUGCAUUUUCAGAUCAUCAGUUUACUUAAGAAUUCCAUGUACCACUGGAAUACAGCCACUCCUGGAUGAAGACAGACUAGCCACUUACAGAAACUGAAGAAGUGUGUCUUGGCCAACUGAAAUGACAAGGGAACUAAAAUGCUGCACUGUGGAAGUAAUCUGUACACAUCUAUAAUCACCUAAUGGAGCUUACACACUAAGUGCUCAGGAAGACGCAUCACGGGGGAUGAAGAGGGCUGCUUAAAAUGCUGCCUCCCACAGCGUGCAGAGGAGCCUGUCUGCUGGAGCGAGAGUUGGCCUCAAGUCAUCUUUCCUCCCACCCCAUCCAUGAUUUGGUUUCUAGAAGCUCCCAGCCACUCACUGUGACUGCCGGCAAGAAACUCUUAGCUGCAGCUCUGCCUGUCCCUUGGCCAGCCUGCGAAACCUUCAUCCUGGGUGCUACCCCUCUGCCUGCCCCAAGUCCCAGCCCUGCCUGCUGCGACUUCUGAAUAUGAGUGGCAGUGCUGCAAGGGAGCCUGCUAAGGCAGCUCCUUCCCUGGCCACCUCUGCAAGCUGGGAGCAAUCUUUAAAAGCAGCACAACGGCAAAAUAGGAGAGAUCUCCAUGGAACUGUUCACAGAUGUAAGAGAUUUACAAGCUGUGCUUAAAUUUUGAUGUAUCACAGAUUCUUAUCUGCAAAAUGGCAAUAGUAACGUUUCCUCUUUUUGCUCGUCAUGGCUGGUCAGUGUGUAAGAGCUGGGUACUAUAAGGUUACUGGUUGCCUGGUACAAGCACUGGAAGUCCCAGUCCUGUGUUAAGUUCCUGCAUUGUCUGUAUACCGGGGGAGAGCUGGAAGUCUUGGAACGGGAGGGUCAGUGAAUUGCCAGUGAGGAGCAUGUCUUAAAUGUGUCGUAAAGGCAUACUUAGGGGCGGCCCUACAGGACCAAGUCAGGCGCCUCUCUUAGAAAUGGAGACACAUGAAGUCCAUUAUUUGCUCCAGAGAAAACAAGUUGACUCAAAGAUCUCCUUUCAAAUACUGUUUAAGAAGGAGACAGCAGAUCUCCCUUAAUGGCUGCUCACUCAGCUAGAAACGUCUCAUGGAAGGGAGUUCAAGCUUGUGUCAUCUGUGACCCAAAAAGGCCUUUGAUUCCUGACGACGGCCUCUCAGUGACCGGCUGCCCUUUCAUCGCCUACUGACGUUGAGGCACUGUGAGAGCAAGUGCAGGCUCUGGGAUGGCUUGUGGGCUGUGUCAGAUCGUACUCAGAUGGAACCUACGUUAACCCCAUUCCACCACACCUCCAUCUGCCUGACACCUGCAGAAUUUUGUGACACCCCUCUCCCCAGAAAGCACAGCUGAGAACAUGAAGUUCUCAUAAGAACAGCCACCUGGGAAUCCCAGGUCCUGACCCCAGUUCCAAGGCCAUCUUUCACAGUGUUUCCAGUGAUAGUGGAAUGCACAACAGUCCUGGAAGCAGGGACCUGAAGUCACAACAGCCCCUGCAAGCAAGUGCCAGCAACCACUAAUAUGUAACUCAGCGGGUAGGAGCUCGCCAUGCAGCUUCCCAAGCUAAUGCUGAACAAGUUGGUUCCAAGCAGGUUACCUACAGGGCAGUAGGAGGGAGAUGGUUUGAGCACUGUCAGAUUGAGGAAUGCCUUGUACCAAGGUUUCCCAUUUCCUCAGUGAUUUAGACUAUUCAAAAGAAAAAAAUAAAGUGGUGGUAUCAGUGCUGGCUGGUUAAAAGACACUUCUAAACAUAAGGGAAUUCUUUAACCAAAAAUGCCUGAAGAAUGCUGGGGAACCCAGGUAAUUUGUCCUGUUCCUUAUAGGUCACCUGGUAACGUAUGAACUCCUGAAACAUAUGUUUUCACUGCUUGUGACACGUAAGCUUUCAGGCUAAGCUAGCAUUUGGAGAAUAACAUGAUGUAAGCAUCUCAUUAGGUCCAAUUAUGGGGCCUUAUUUAUUUUCUGAAUUUGCACUUAAGCUUGGGGGGGGGUGCAAUUUGUCACAAUGUCAUGGCUGGGUCAUAAGCUCAGCAGAGGCCUUCAGGCACUGCAAAAUACAAAACAGUAAAUAAUAAUUCUUGGCUCAGAAUUAUUAGGAAAGGGAAGGAUAAGGAAAAGCCUAAAAUACUUGCUUUCCUGUCACUUGAGAGUUUCUGAGCCAAUUAAUCGCUAGGUAAUUCAGAAACAUGUUCAGGCUAAGAGUACUUUGGGGCUCGUACAAGGCCAGUGUUGUAGGUGCCCAAGACAUCACAUUCCAAAACUGAUGGUGCAAUUGUAUCUAUUUAGCCAUAACCAAAGUGGCUGGGCUUUGCACAGGUCAGGCAGCCUAGCUAGGUUGGCUGCGGGGUUAGUUUUCUUCUUGCUUACACACACUUACAUCAUAAUCUAGUGUUUUCCAUAAAUAAUAUGAGAAAACAAAAUUUAAAUAAAGUAGCUUAAAAGCUAAACAAUGAAAUAAAGAUUUAAAAACUUACUCGGGUAUCACUCUGCCCUCUUUAAAUACCACGUCUGUAGGACAGCAGUAUAGAAACAGGGCUAUGGUGUCCUGCCUUUUCAUAAAAGAUCUGAACAAGAGUCCAACAAAAGAAUACUGUUUUUAUACCUAAUCAACUGUAAUGAAAGAAUAUGAAGAACUGUCAUGUGCUUAUUAGGGGAAAUUAUCAGAUAUUCUUUCCUAUGAUGAACCAACACACUGUGCUGAUAAUUCUGUAGUGCACACUAAAUUACAAUUAAAGGCCUUUCUGCUCCACCAAAAUCUCAUUUAUAAUCUCUUUGGAAAUACUCUUCCUGCAGUUAUUUCAUUUAUGCUUCCUUUAUCUAAUUACUAUAAUAUUGGUUCUGAAUCAUAUUUUCUUAAUGCACCCUUAUUCAAUUAUAAAGUUACUUUCAAGUGCAGUUACUUUAUAAUACCAAGUAUAUUGCUCUGCAGCCUUUGUCAUGCACCAUACUAUUUAACUAGCAAUGUUUUCUGAAGGUUUCCCUUCAUUUCGAAAUCAGCUUUUUUUUGAAUAGCACAAUAUAUCCAAUUACAUUUUUUCUCAUCAUUUUCAAGUCAGAAAUGAAUGGUUUGCUUAUUGCAACUUUGCAAUCAGCCUUCUCUCUCCCUCCUUUGUUUUUUGCAGGCACUAAUGUCAAGAGCUCAGCAGAAACCUCCCAGGGAACAGCAACAUUCUGGGCUGUACAAUGUUCCAUUCCUGCCCCCACAGCUACAUAAAUUUCCUUCCCUUACAAAUUCCUUCCUACCCAUGUUUCUUUUCAUCUUCCCUCUUUUUCUGUGCUGCCUAUUCAUUUAUUUUCAUCUCCCAUUUUAGUUUUUUUAGUCCUUCAAGUAGGGUGUAUGUGCCCUCUAAAGGAGUGGUUCAUACACAGCAGAGCCUGCAAUUUCUUAAAAGCAACAGGACCUGUCCACGAGGCUAAAUUUUGCUAGCACCCAAGUGCCCUUGAUUCACACUGCCCAUAACUGAGUUCACUAUAAACUUGUUCUAAUGUCAUUAAUGGCUCAAAUGCCUUGAGAAUAUUUCAGGAACCAAGACCGAGCUUGAAAAAUAAAUGCUUUCAUCACAUUCAGGGCUGUAGGCCUCUUGCAUCUGGAUGGGUGAUGCAGAACCAGAAAGAGCAGCUUGCCUGAAUCUGCACGGCAAGUGUCAGGAAAGGAAUGGGAUGCUGGCUCUCCACAGCUGAACUGGCCAGACAGAAGCAGAGGAGGUAAACUGUUCCUCAAAACUGGGGACUGCAUGUGGUCUGACACUGAAGGAGUAAUCCAGGCAGGGAGGGGCAGUGUGCAUUCUGGGGCUCUGACCCUUCGGGCUACUGGUGGCCCGUGUUACAGUGCACCUACAGCUUUGUUAACUUCCAUGCCUUUGUAAAUACUGGACAUACAGAUAAUCCUUUGCACUUUUCUUGAAGUGUUCAAAUGCUUAAUUCACAUUCUCAUUUCGCUCUACUCUGGGUUAACAAACUUAGAAAAGACCGUAACGCACCAGAACUGGUAGGGCACCUUACCUUGUUUUCCUUCCUUGUUCUGGCAGAGGCAGAGUCUCUGGCAGAGACUCACGAGCACUGAUUCGAGGACAAAGAAAAAAGGACCUUUAAUGGUAAGAAACUGGCCAAGUUACUGUGUGCUCUUGUGUUUGUGUGAGUCAGGCAGGAACUUAGUUGUGUAGGUCGAUCCACUGUAACUGAACAGAGCUCUGCAGGCAAACCAUCUCGGGUAUGGCUAGGGCAGCAAAUGCCAAGCAAAGACACAGUCACCAUCAGCUAAGAGGCUACAACAGUUUCCUCCAACACUGUUUCUGCCUUCAUUGUACAGCCCAGAAAACAAACUCCAUGCUCUUGAAUCCUCCUCAUCCGCAAGAGGAUCAAGUCCAGCUCCAGGUUUGGUCUGUAUAUAUAGUAUUUGUGAAGGUAGACCGUCUCCCCGUGAGUUACUACACAGUAAACCUACUUCUUCAUUUGUACCUAAGCAGGGACCCUGUUCCAUUUUUACAGCAGUAUAUUUAAUAAGUAAAAAAUAGGAGUUCAUUAAAAAUAAAUGUAUUUCUUGCUAGGAAGUCUUUGGUUUAAAUGCCCAUUUUCAAACUGUAUGUGAAAAUGCUCAAGUCCUGCAGUGGGUCACCUACUACGAUUUUGAUUUGAAGAUCAGCCUACAAGUCAUAAACAGUCUCAUAAAGAUGUAACUAUCAUAAUAACUUUCCUUUUCCCAGUUGGAAAUAUAAGAUGAACUGUUCUGAAGCACCUAAUGUAUGACUAAUGUUUAUUUGUUUUACAAGAAGCUUUACAGCUGCAAUGUUCCAAGAAUGCUUAAAUUCAAUAAACAGCUAUUAUAAUUCA